GGAGGGAGAGAGAGAGAAUGUAUGAGGUGAGAGAGGGGGGGGAGAGAGAGGGAGACAGACAGAGACAGAGACAGAGACUCAGAGACAGAGACCGAGAGGAGAGAGACAUUUUGGAGAGUGUGUUUGUAAUACUUUUGAAGAUUGGCUGCUCACAGACCACAGGUCAACCCUCCUAUGACAAAGCCUGACUGAUGAAGGAGUUCAUCGCUGAAGAAGAGACUCAGAAAGGAAAUCGAGCCAGGGAGAAGAUGAUCUUUCUGUGCCCUCUGGACUCCGUCAUCCUGGAUAUGGUACUUGUCUUGCAACCAGGACGAAGAUGAAACCGACUUUGAGGAUGAAGGAAGGAGCAGGGUGGCUGGUCUCUACUUCCAUAGACUGUAGGGGAAAACUCCUGCAGGUGGACAAAGGUCCCCAAAACUUCUCUCCAGGACCCUCGUGUUUCCUGUCAACAUGCUCAUUCAAUCAUCACUGAACGCCCAAGAGUUAUUCCACAAGAAUUGUCACUGGGCGUCGACUCUGCAAUACAAAUGACUGGUGGGUGACCUUGAAUCUAGACUGCAGCCUCUCAGCAGACAUGCGCCCUUAGAGAAAUUACCUACAUUCUUUGUGACUCAGGUUUCUCACUUUAAAAAUGAGGGCUACGGCAUGAGGACCUGUGAGAGAUCGGUAUUGGCUCAGUACCCUAAGACCAAGUUCUCUCCACAAAGGAGAUUUCUUUGCCCCAGGGGGACAGAGGACAGGUGAUACGAGGCAAAGAAAUAUGGAGGACAAGGGCGAGGGACCAAGGGUGGGAUGAAGGACUGUCUCUCGCUAGGGAGGAUACAGAUGUGCCCUAUAGGCUAAUGGUAGUUUAUAAAGGUAAAGGGGGAACCCUGUGUUAAGAUGAGGUGUUUAAUUUUAAUUGGACAUGUUAACUUGUUAGAGGAAUUGCUGAAGGAAGAGCCCAGACUCAACUAAUACGCAAAGGUAAGGACGGUUCAUUCUGUAAAAAUUACCAGCACUCAGGGGUCAACCAUUCAUCUAAAUGGUGACAACUUGAGGGUCUUGUAGGCCUGCUUUUAUGCAGGACUAGGGGAGUUUUCCAGGACUAGGUAACCUCUAAUAUGAUUGGUAGGAGCAAAGCAGUAACAUUAGUACACUUUCUUUUGAUUGGCUAUUUGGUGAGACCAUGAAGAGUUUUAGUGACCAGCUCUGUUCUGGCCUUGUUAUCUUCUCUAGUCGUGUACCCAGAAGACUGUCUCAGCUCUGGAACUAUCCUCCCAUGUUCAGGUUGACUGAAGGCUCAUUGUGAGCCAAAGGGGGCUUUUGAUAGUUGAAUUUCAGUACCUUGAUAGCUAGACCUUGGUAGCCAGCCUCAGGAAGAGGAAGUAACCAAAUAAAGGAAUAAACCUUCAUGACUAGAAAUGUAAUCUAAUAGGUUUUUUUUUUUUCAAGGCAGAGGGAAUUGGGGAGAAGGUCAAGGCCCUCCGUGUUCACCAAGUCCCUUCAGAACCUGAGUCUGAGUCCCAGAACCCACAUAAAAAGAUAGGUACAGUAGUGGAAUAUUGUAAUCCCAGAGCUAGGAAAACGGGCAAGGGGAUCUCUGAGGCUGACUGGCCCAGUGAGUUGUCAGUCCCAGAGUUUAGUGAGUAGACAUGCCUCAACAAAUAAAAAGCAACAACAACAACAAAACAAAACAAAACAAAACUGAGGACGAAUGGCCCCUGCAGAAUGAGACCCAAGGUUGAGUUCUGGCAUCGGCAUGUGUGUACAUGUAUGUACAGACACACACACACACAAGCAUGCAUGCACAAUGUGAAAAAUAAAAUUAAAGCUAUCCUAUAAUCCCCUGGUUUUCCUAAUAUACUAUUCUCUCACUUUGGUGACAGGUGCAAUAAAUAAUGUAUUCAGGUAGUUUUAGAGAAUCAAUUUAUUUCCAGGCACUUGUAUAGAAUCUAAUCAAUAUUUAUACUUAUUCAAACGGCUUUCUUCUUCUUUUUUCAUUAAGGAAGGUUUUGCUUUCUUCUUACGCCUGUUUGACCUUGUAGAAAAUAACAAAUUCUUUUCUAGUAGCACCAAAGGGAACAAAACCAAGCCAAGGAGAUUGUUGACCCUAACCCUCUCACUAAUUAGGGAGUGUAUGGGGAAAUAAGUCCUCAUUACACCUCCCGUUUCAACUAGUUCUUUACAGUUGACUAUAGCUCAGAAAAUUGGAUUAUGAGCUACGCUUGGCAUCUUUAGCCAGAAGGCCUGCCAUUCUGUCAGCAAUAUUUAUCAGACUAGAGCUGGUGACUGUAAAUUCCCAAGGUAAUUAGAAACAAGCAAACAGAAAACAAAAAUACAAAACCAAACCACUGGUUUUAGAGACAUUGUUUCUCAUUGGAAUGAAUAUUACCCAUGAUUAUCUCCUUAGCUGUACGCUUCAUCUAGGAGAGAGAAAUCACCCAAAUUUCACUUGAAGAGUUUUGUCAGGUGUUGUACGACACGAUUUCUGGGGAGACCAGAACACACCUCUUCUUAAGCUCAGACAGGCGACAGUGACAGACCGAAGCGAGGAUAUUGCCAAAGUGUAACUUGGCGAGGGGGUUCUUAUAGGAAUAUCGGUGAGGGCUACAGGAACAGAAACAAUUCAAGGACUGUUACAUCACUAAAAUCUGGAAUGGGUGACAGACCACUCAUGAAAACAGGAAGCCUGGAUCUCACUGCAUGGUUGGGAGGCAGCUAGACAGAGUGGAGUCUCUUCCAGACCCCUCAGCUGGUCUGAGUGUCUCCUAGAAAGGCAGCUCUCCUUGUCUGAGGGUCUCUCAGCCAUUCCUACAGUUUAUAUAAAUGUGGGGAUGAAGGAGCCUGAUGCUUCUGGUCAGGUUCAAGGACCCCUGGAUCCUUUGAGUUGUUUACUGUCCCGGUUUUAAAGACCAUCCUUCAGGAGACAGUGCUUCACUUUCCUUUAGCAGAUCCUAGGUCCUAAGGACCUUCACUUUAAGGUGGAAACUCUUAUCUCAGAGGAGAUUGCUAUGCAACACUAGAAAUGACCUUUGAGGGUCGAAGCCCAGGGGACUAAGGGACUAGAUUAGCCAUGUGAUGUGGGGGAGGAGAACCCAUGAACUUUCUGGACUUUUAUUUACCCAGAUCGCUGAUGGAUGACUCUGGUGAGCAUGGAGUUGGUACCCGAUAUGAAGAGAUGCUGUCCUCCUAUCUUGUGCUCACAGUGUGCUAGGUCCCAGGGAAGCUGUGACGAAGGAGUCUUGCCGGUCAAAGGCCAGCACAGGCCAGUGUGCUCAGCUCAUGCUCAGCUCUGAAGCACAAGCUAGUCCUGGAGUUCAUGUUCUUUAUCUCCAGUGUGGAAUCCUGCUCAUUACUUCAACUCCACCAAUAGCGACUUUCCCUUUGUCUGAGCUCUAAUUCCUCUAGAGGGCUCCUAAACACAGCACGUGAGAGGUCUUGUAAAUGCACGGACUCUGGGGCUGGGGACAAGCAUGAGGACCUGAAUUCAGUCCACAGAACUCAUGUAAAGAGACUGCUUGGGUGGCAUGUUCUGUAAUCCCAAUGGUGGGGAGGUGGCAAUGGAUCCUUGGGGAUCACUGGCUAGUCAAUGUAGCUUACUCUAAAACCCACAGACCAAUGAGAAUAAAACCACCUUAAACAUAAAGAACCAGCCAUCUUAAGAAGAAAACAAAAAACCAAACAAGGUGGGGAGCACUCGAGGUGAGAAACCAAGGUUGUCUUCUGACCUCCAUGCACAUGAACAGAUGUUCCCAUGCACUGCUGUGCACACAUGUGCAUCGACACACACACACACACACACACACACACACACACACACACACACACACACACAGAGAGAGAGAGAGAGAGAGAGAGAGAGAGAGAGAGAGAGUGUGUGUGUGUGUGUGUGUGUGUGUGUGUGUGUGUGUGUGUGUUGGGGGCUCUGGAAACAGAAUGAGAUCUUGGAAUACUGGAAUAUUAGCUCAGCU